UCCAGAGUGAGGUGAAGGAAGACGGGCGUCUAUUGUAAGCACUGAGCGUGGUGGGUGAGUCUUGGAUGUAGAAAUUUUCACUUGAAGUGGUGCUGUGUAAUGCUGUGUAUUGCAGUGAGAUUGCUAUUGUCUUGUCUGACGUACCCCCGCCUCCAGUCACUCGUUCUUGAGACGACGAAGAGGAAGAACGGUUCUAGAGUAAGACCUGUAUAUAAAUAUGCUGUGAGUGUGUUCCAGUCUUAAAAUCUCAGAGUGGCGUCUCGAAGUAUUUUCCCAGCCAAACGCUCGGCGGACUUGAGUUUAGGAGUGGCGGUGAAGAACUGUGCUAUUGACGGUGUGUGGAUAUUACCUAUAAUAUUGCUACCUUACCUGUGUCCUUUUGUCAUCACAGAGUUGGAGGCGAAGGAGAUCCGCCGCCCCGAGGUCUCGACGAAAGGGCGCCCCGGUCCAGUUUUCGAUUGACCAACGGGUCUCGAGGAAAGGGCAGCGCUCGACCCGGUGUGCCGGCGUGACGUUCUCGCCCCUCUGUAGACCAACGAGCUCGCCGAGAGGGUUUUGGCCCCCGGCGUCACAUAGGAAACCACUGUCUAGCUGACGCAUCGCGCAGCCAGUUACCUCAUCUGUGGAGAGAGAGAGAAAGAGCCAGCGUGAACGCUGAGAUAUCGGACUGUGAAGAGAGAGCCAUACCUACCCUAAGCUGUAGUCAGCGCAGAGUCCUCUGUGGAGAGAGAGAGAGCCAGCGUGAGCACUGAGAUACUGAACUGUGCAGAGAGCCAUACCUACCCAAAGCUGUAGUCAGCGCAGAGGUGAGAGAACCAUUGGAAAACCGAUUCAUUGUGCCUUUGUGUCCCAGCAGUCAUCUGUGGAGAGAGAGAGAGAAAGAGCCAGCGUGAACCCUGAGAAGCCGAGCUGUGAAGAGAGCCUAGAGGGGCCGUUAUUUUAAGUUCCCCUUUCCCCUUCCCUAUUUAAUAUUUUUAAGUAAUUUAAUAAAGUAUAUUUUAAUUUUA